ensembl:lncRNA
CAUACCUAGACUCUCUGUUGCCUAAAAGAAAACCCUAAUUAUCUGUGUAACUGAAUAGAAUCAAAAGUUCUAUUAUGCUUAUUGGAGUGUGACCACAGGCCUAUUGAUAAGCGUCCACUGUUAACUACCUAGGCUUAAGGCAUAUGAAUCACGGGUUAACUUUGAUUCUAUCUUUCUUUUCCUUUGUUCAGACUAGUUUCAGGGAAUUUGGGGAGAUGGGUUUGGGCACGAACACUUAGGGUAUAUAAGGUUUUCAGAAAAACUGGUCGGGGUCCUUGGCUAAGAGGAGACUCUGCCUUGGGCCCGCCAGUGUAAUCAACUGCACUCCACUAUCUGCAUCGUCCUUCUGAGUGAGUCUGUUUCCCAGAAUGCAUGGCUACAACAACAUAAUGCUGUAUUAUUUGUCUAUUUCCCUUUGGAUCUCUACCAAAAUAUAAUUUCAGCAUUUUAAAGCAGUUUAAAAAAAAAUUCUUUGAGAGUGGGGGCAAGCAGGAAUGAAGUGCUGAUACUUUAGUAUGUUGUGAAAUGCUUCUCGUUUUGGGUGGGAUUGUGUCUCCCCAAAAUUCCAUGUUGAAGUCUCAAUUCUCUGUACCUCAGAGUGUAACUGUAUUUGGAGGGAAGGUCUUUAAAGAGGUGACUGAAUUAAAAUGAGGCCAGUGAGGUGGAUCCCUAAUCCAGUAUGACCGGUGUCCCCAUGAGAAGAGGAUGAGACAUUGGGAAUGCUCUCACAGGGAGGACAAACCAUGUGAGAUCAUGGCGAGAAAGUGAGGGCCCUCAGCUGUAGAUAGAGUCCUCAGGGAAACCGAACCCUUCCAGGACCUUGAUCUUGGACUUCUACUCUCCAGAACCACGAGAAGUAAAUUCCUGUUCUUUAAACAAAAGGCAGCUCAGAAUUACCUAAUCAGUAAGUUCUAACUGUCAGUUAGUGGUUAAAUUAGUCUAUAUCCUACAGUGUAUUGACUAAAAAAAGAUGUACACCUUGAGAGUUUUCACUUAAGUUUUUAU